rnacentral:rRNA from 1 species
UACGUAGGGACCGAGCGUUGUUCGGAAUCAUUGGGCGUAAAGGGCGCGUAGGUGGUUCUGUAUGUCUACCGUGAAAGCGUACGGCUCAACCGUAUUUUGUCGGUAGAAACUGCAGGACUUGAGGCUGGGAGGGGCUGGUGGAAUUCCCUGUGUAGCGGUGAAAUGCGUAGAGAUGGGGGAGAACACUCGUGGCGAAGGCGGCCAGCUAGACCAGUUCUGACACUGAGGCGCGACAGCGUGGGGAGCAAACAGG